UACGUAGGUGACAAGCGUUGUCCGGAAUUACUGGGCGUAAAGCGCACGCAGGCGGUCUUGUAAGUUUGACGUGAAAGCUCCCGGCUUAACUGGGAGAGGUCGUUGAAGACUGCAAGACUUGAGGAAAUGAGAGGGGUGUAGAAUUCCCGGUGUAGUGGUGGAAUGCGUAGAUAUCGGGGGGAAUACCAGUGGCGAAAGCGGCACCCUAGCAUUUUUCUGACGCUCAGGUGCGAAAGCGUGGGGAGCGAACGGG
rnacentral:rRNA from 1 species